UACGAAGGGGGCUAGCGUUGCUCGGAAUUACUGGGCGUAAAGCGCACGUAGGCGGAUUGUUAAGUCGGGGGUGAAAUCCUGGAGCUCAACUCCAGAACUGCCUUCGAUACUGGCGAUCUCGAGUUCGGGAGAGGUGAGUGGAACUGCGAGUGUAGAGGUGAAAUUCGUAGAUAUUCGCAAGAACACCAGUGGCGAAGGCGGCUCACUGGCCCGAUACUGACGCUGAGGGACGAAAGCUAGGGGAGCGAAUGGG
rnacentral:rRNA from 1 species